AUGGACAAGACUGGGGUUCAUAGCCUGCGUGCUGCCGAGGAAUUCCUCAUGCGUGAGAUAGCUGAGUCGUCCAGCAAGCUUGAGAAGGACUGCUUCCAAAUUGCAUUUGUCAUUUUUGUGAUGGGUCAUGUGCUGGCACCCAGGACAAAACACGAUUAUGGGACUAUAGAUUAUUGGGGAGCACUUGCGAACACAGAGAAUAUAUCGCAAUUCAAUUGGUGUGAGUUUUUCCUGGAUUUCUUGAUCGAGGCAGUCUGCCGUUUGAAGAAUGAUAUGAUGGCCAAUAAUCCAAACACCAACCUUGUUGGCUGUCAUCUAUUUCUGCAGGUCUUUUUCCUCGACAAUGUGGACCUAGGAAUUUUCAAUAAGAAGCAUAAUGUCCUUCCUCGGAUCAGUGAGUUUGACCAGGCCACAAUUAUAACGAUGAUUACAAUGGGAACUGACUUGGGGAAGGGCCCUACUUCGUACUCAAAAUGCAUGAUCCGUCAGGUUAGUGAUUUGUGCUAUGCUCGUUGCAAUUUAUGUGGAGGUGUUGACGACGCCACGAAUCAGGCAGCAGAAGUUGGCAAAUUUCACCAGCCAACCAGUCUAAAUGAGGAGCAUGGAAACCAAAUGAAUGAGAGAGCAGGGUCAUUUCAUGAUUCUUAUUCAGUAGCAGCCAACCUCAUGGAUGUGCAGACACCAUUACGUGUGUUGGGUCCAGUUGAUUUUGCAGACCACCUACGCAACCGAUACCCAAGUCUGGUCAGGGAUGAGUUAACAUUCAUGCUAAAGGAGCAGAAUGCCAAGUGUCAGCGUGAAAUCAACACGGCCCGAGUCAACAUACAGGCAGACAUGAUCAAGUUUGUUGACAAAGUCAUGACAUCACUUAGCAAUAGGUGCAUUUGCUGUUUUGCCCGUGGUUUUACUGACUGCCCAGCAAGAGCAAUAGCAAUUGAGACAUCACCAGCGGACACAAUGACGACUCCGGCUGGGCCAAAAAUUCCAGGGGUCAGGCUAGAAAUGUCUGCAUGCAAAGGAGACAUGUCUAGAACCAGGGUUGCAUCUGAGGUACUGCCAGAUCAACAACAAAAAGGCCAAGACAUGAUGAUGAUUUGCUUGCAACACUGA
rnacentral:rRNA from 1 species